rnacentral:rRNA from 1 species
UACGUAGGUGGCAAGCGUUGUCCGGAAUUAUUGGGCGUAAAGCGCGCGCAGGCGGUCCUUUAAGUCUGAUGUGAAAUCACGUGGCUCAACCACGUGCGGUCAUUGGAAACUGGAGGGCUUGAGUGCAGAAGAGGAAAGUGGAAUUCCCGGUGUAGCGGUGAAAUGCGUAGAGAUCGGGAGGAACACCAGAGGCGAAGGCGGCGACCUGGACAGGUACUGACACUCAACUACGAAAGCGUGGGGAGCAAACAGG